rnacentral:rRNA from 1 species
GGGACCUUCGGGCCUUGCGCUAUCAGAUGAGCCUAGGUCGGAUUAGCUAGUUGGUGAGGUAAUGGCUCACCAAGGCGACGAUCCGUAACUGGUCUGAGAGGAUGAUCAGUCACACUGGAACUGAGACACGGUCCAGACUCCUACGGGAGG